CUCUCUCUCUCUCUCGCUGAGCACAACUCCAUAACCAUAAUUUCAGCUCAGGCCGUAAACAAGCGUCUCUCGUCUCUUCAUCCAGACUUCUAAUGACAAAUAAUGCCGAAAAUGAUGCUCUAGUAUUGGUUGAUAAUGCAUUUGGGAAGCUUCCUGAUCAUAUCCUGAUAGAAAUUUUCAUCAGAGUUCCCGUAUCAGAAUGGGCCCAAAUAUCAUGUGUUAAAAA
rnacentral:misc_RNA from 1 species